AGCCUCUGGUGAGACAAAAACACCACGGACGCCACUUGUUAAUAAACUCAAUAGAAGUCUGAAGCCAGCAGACGCACAGGGUGCUGAUAAGAUGACCACCAAGACUGUCAGCAGGCAUAGCCGUGGCAAAUAGACCUGCAUGAAAGGCAAACACUGAAAAGGCCAAUGCUAUGACAGCUUUGGCCUUUUAAGGGAAGCAACAGCAAAUGGCAUUAGCACAAGGUGUCAACAUGGCGCUGUUGGAGAAAUACUGCUGUAGCACGGUGAAACACAUGCUGUCAGCUGUCAGAAAUGGCAGCGGGGAGCUACUUUGUGCACUCCUGCCCUUGUUCUGCGUUCCCUCCGCUCCUUAAGGUCCCCGGUGAGUUCUACACGAGAGCCGCUGACCUGGAAGAAGGCUGAAUCUGGCGCUUUUUGCCAGGAACUCUUUGGCUCUGGAAGAAGGAACUGCAACUGAUGACCGUGAUGGGGCAGUACCAGUUCCUGCCACUGGAUGGAGGCAGAACAAGGCAGGGGGGGGGAAGAAAGGCGUGAUCUUGUGUAAGUGGCCGUCACUGGAUACUGGAAAGAAGAGUCAACAGAGACAUAAUGAGCGGCAGUAUAAAUUCUGUUCUUCAUGGCAGGCGUUUCAACAGAAGAAUACUGAAGCAGAUGUGAAGCAGAUGUGACUUUGCUCAGAUGGAUUUUUCAUUUAAAAUCUCCUUAAAGGCAGCAACUGUGCAAAAGCUGCUGCACAACCCGAAGAAUGGGCGGAAACCCCGACUUUCCAAGUGGAAACUGGCCUGUGGCACUGGAAUGGUUUCACCUCCUUGCCUUCAGAAACACGACUGCACCU